rnacentral:rRNA from 1 species
GAAUGUAAGGAGUAGCGGUGAAAUGCAUAGAUACCUUACAGAACCCCGAUUGCGGAGGCAGCUUGCAAGACUUUAUCUGACGCUGAUGCACGAAAGCCUGGGGAGCGAACAGGAUUAGAUACCCUGGUAGUCCAGGCUGUAAACGAUGAUCACUGGUUGUUUGCGAUAUACUGUAAGCGACUGAGCGAAAGCAUUAAGUGAUCCACCUGGGGAGUACGUCGGCAACGAUGAAACUCAAAGGAAUUGACGGGGGCCCCGCACAAGCGGAGGAACAUGUGGUUUAAUUCGAUGAUACGCGAGGAACCUUACCUGGGCUUGAACUAUAAGCGCUGAUGUCUGAAAGGGCAUUUUCCUACGGGACGCUUUAAAGAGGUGCUGCAUGGCUGUCGUCAGCUCGUGCCGUGAGGUGUCGGGUUAAGUCCCAUAACGAGCGCAACCCCUAUUGCUAGUUGCCACCGCGUAGCGGCGGGGACUUUAGUGAGACUGCCACCGUAAGGUGAGAGGAAGGUGGGGAUGACGUCAAGUCAGCACGGCCCUUAUGUCCAGGGCUACACACGUGUUAC